GACACGCUGGCGGUGCGCUUCAGCUGCAAGUCGAGCGAAGCUUUCAGUAGUUUACUACAGAAAAUGACUGAGCGGCGAACGGGUGAGUAACGCGUGAGCAAUCUACCUUAGUUACAGGGAUAGCCCGAGGAAACUCGGAUUAAUACCUGAUAUUCUUUAUUUCUCGCAUGAGAAUAAAAGGAAAGGUCAGCCGAACUAAGAUGAGCUCGCGUUCUAUCAGCUAGUUGGUGAGGUAAAAGCUCACCAAGGCUACGACGGAUAGCUGGUCUGAGAGGACGAUCAGCCACACUGGGACUGAGACACGGCCCAGACUCCUACGGGAGGCUGCAGCAGGGAAUAUUGCGCAAUGAGCGAAAGCUUGACGCAGCAACACCGCGUGUGGGAUGACGGAUCUAGGUUUGUAAACCACUUUCAGGAGGGAAGAAAAUGACGGUACCUCCACAAGAAGCCCCGGUCAAAUACGUGCCAGCAGCCGCGGUAAUACGUAAGGGGCGAGCGUUGUCCGGAUUUAUUGGGCGUUAAGAGCUCGUAGGCGGUUCAACAAGUCGGUCGUGAAAGUUCAGGGGUCAAACCUGAAAUGUCGAUCGAUACUGUUGUGACUAAGAUACGGGCAAGGUGAGUGGCAUUCCGAGUGUAACGGUGAAUGCGUACAUUUUCCGAAGACACCAAUACGAAAGGGGUCCUGGGCCGUUAUGAAGCUAGGAGGAAAGUAGGGACAACAGG
rnacentral:rRNA from 1 species